ACGCAUUUUGAAAACUUGGUCACUCCUUACGGGGGAGACAGUCAUGAGACGUGAGUAUAAGACCUGAGUGUAAAGACCUUAGGGUGAAGCAAUUGGAGGGCAAGCUUUGGUGCCAGCAGCCGCGGUAACUCCAACUCCAAGAGUGUCUAUGGUGGAUGCUGCAGUUAAAGGGUCCGUAGUCGUGAAUGCAAUUAAAUGUCGUUGUUCAAUAGCGAUGAGUUUGCUAAUGUUUGCGGAACGGAUAGGGAGUGUAGUAUAGACUGGCGAAGAAUGAAAUCUCAAGACCCAGUUUGGACUAACGGAGGCGAAGGCGACACUCUUAGACGUAUCUUAGGAUCAAGGACGAAGGCAGGAGUAUCGAAAGUGAUUAGACACCGCUGUAGUUCCUGCAGUAAACUAUGCCGACAGCCUGUGUGUGAGAAUACGUGGGCGGGAGAAAUCUUAGUGUUCGGGCUCUGGGGAUAGUACGCUCGCAAGGGUGAAACUUAAAGCGAAAUUGACGGAAGGACACUACCAGGAGUGGAUUGUGCUGCUUAAUUUAACUCAACGCGGGAAAACUUACCAGGGUCAAGUCAUUCGUUGAUCGAAUACGUGAGAAUGGCAGGAGGGGGGGCAUGGGAAGGGCUU
rnacentral:rRNA from 1 species